ACGGCUGGUAAGUGGGGGGGGGGGGGGGGAUUUCUGCAGCACAGCCCCCUGGCUCCUCCACCCAAGCUCUUGACUUGUACCCAUAUCCAGCUUCCAGAAGUGGCUCGUACCGGGGAGGCAGCUCAUCCCCAGGGGCCACGCCCCAUCACUGAGUCGGCUUUUUUUUGUGGUGGUUUUUAUGUGAGUGCAGCCCCGCCGGCUGUGUGCUCUGUGCCCUACCUUGUCCACCACCUGGCUGCACAUGCGCAAGGCGCCCCCUGCACUGCCGUGAGUGUGCACACUCAGAAAAGGUAAUUAGCAAAGCAGCUGUCGCAGCCACCAGGGGAGGCGACACGCGACGUGGCCCCCGAUGGACCAGCCUUUCCUCCUGAUUAGAAACAGGUAGAGCUCCUUGGUCAGUCCAGGCCCCGUGGUUUACGUUCCCUGCGGAGACGCAGGAGUCUUGCCUCCCGCCACGGGUGCUUGCGUGGCUGUGUCGUGCCUGGGUCAGAGAGAGCUGGUGCCCUGCUGAGAGGAGACGGGAUGCCCACACGCACAGGGAGGACCCCUGGAGACAGAGCUGCAGCGCCCAGCCUGGCCCGGGGGCGGUCCCAGAGGACCCCUUGGUCUCAGACUCGCAGCCUCCAGCGCUGGGGGCCUGCAGUUGCAGCCAGGGCUGUGGUAGGGCAGCCCCAGCCAACGGCACGGCACCCAGCGUGUUCGCGGCUGUGACUCGUGACAUCCCGGGGGCUCACCUCCGGCGUGCUCAGCCCUGGCGACACCACGCACGGAGGUCGAGGACUGCCACCCCUACCCCGUGCUCAGCUCAGUCCUCUUGCAGUUGCAUGGUGGGAAACUCAGGCUUGUGGAUGCGAGAGCUGGUCAGAUGCUGGCACGCCAGUGCUGUGAGAGGCUGAUCUAGGAGCCAGCAUUCCUCCCUGGGCCAGUCGUCAGUCCAGCUAAUUCGAAAAGAGUGGGGGUGGGCGGUUGUCACUGUGACUGUCAGCUGUCCCUAUGGUGGGCAACCUGCUGUGGCCUUGGGGACCUGCCUGACCCUCUGUGUACUGCCUCCCUCUUUCUUCAGAAGUGGCACACCUGGGGUGGGGGAAUGUGGAGGGGAACAAGCCGCAGCUUGGCCCCGAUGCAGAUUCAUGGGGCCGGGGUGAGCCGUGGCCCCCCUGAGUGGGAGGCAGGAGGCAGCCCCCGCACACCCCGGGCAGAGGAGGCAGAGCUGCGUGGGGAGUUCUGACUGCCUUAGAGCACCUUGCAUGCGUGCACACACAGCACCGGCCCUCGGAACGGAGUCUGGGUGUGCUGGGAGCAUCUCACACCUGCCCUGUCCAGUGUGGUGGCCUGCAGCCUUAGGCAGCUGCUGCACAUUUGUUGUGGGCCCAGCCAAGCCACAGACGUACACUUUUAAUUUAUUACAUUUCAAAUGUGCGCAGGUAGCUACUGGCUGCCCUGUUGGACGGCACAGGACGAGGUCUUCAUUAUGCUGAUUGAAGCGGCCCCGAACGGGGUUUGGGGAAGGUUGCUCCAAAACAGUGAAUGCGGGAUCAUCAGCUGCAUGGGGCCCAGGACAAGGACAGUGCGUGUGUGUUGGCAGGGGUGGGUCUGUGCCCCUUCUGACAAUGCCACGGAGACCCCACCCAAAUGACCUCAUGUAAGCAACACUGCCCAGAACCGGCGUAGUCCUGAGAUGUUCCCAUCUCCCUGAUACAUAAACAUUCAGCUUUGGGGAUGAACACUCCCGCAGGAGUUCAGGGGACAGAUCAUAUUCAAAGCCUAGCACCUGCCUAGGAAAAUGUAAUCCGCCGCCCUGAAUCAGAGCAUCCUUUGCAGGAUCCCCUGGGCGAUUGUGCUUGCCAGAGGCGCGUGAUAAAGCCUGCUUGGCACUCCUAAUUCUAGAAGCAGAGGGAACACUUCCCACUUAAUCUCUUGCCUAAGGUGGCCUUUUGUGCUUGUUUACUUUGGCUUUUUGUAGAUUGAGACCCAAAUGCCUCCAGCUGUUAGGGAGCCUCAUAAAUUGCAGAGAAAAUAAAGAACAUUUGUCAUGCUUAUCUUGGGAGAAG
rnacentral:lncRNA from 1 species